AACGAACGCUGGCGGCAUGCCUAACACAUGCAAGUCGAACGAGACCUUCGGGUCUAGUGGCGCACGGGUGCGUAACGCGUGGGAACCUGCCCUUAGGUUCGGAAUAACUCCCCGAAAGGGGUGCUAAUACCGGAUAAUGUCUUCGGACCAAAGAUUUAUCGCCUUUGGAUGGGCCCGCGUUGGAUUAGCUAGUUGGUAGGGUAAAAGCCUACCAAGGCGACGAUCCAUAGCUGGUCUGAGAGGAUGAUCAGCCACACUGGGACUGAGACACGGCCCAGACUCCUACGGGAGGCAGCAGUGGGGGAUAUUGGAAAAUGGGGGGAAGGCUGAACCAGCAAAGCCGGGGGAGUGAUGAAGGCCUUAGGGUUGUAAAGCUCUUUUACCCGGGAUGAUAAUGACAGUACCGGGAGAAUAAGCUCCGGCUAACUCCGUG
rnacentral:rRNA from 1 species